UGCCAGCAGCCGCGGUAAUACGGAGGGUCCGAGCGUUAAUCGGAAUUACUGGGCGUAAAGCGUACGCAGGCGGUUUGUUAAGCGAGAUGUGAAAGCCCCGGGCUCAACCUGGGAACUGCAUUUCGAACUGACAAACUAGAGUUUUGUAGAGGGUGGUAGAAUUUCAGGUGUAGCGGUGAAAUGCGUAGAGAUCUGAAGGAAUACCAGUGGCGAAGGCGGCCACCUGGACAAUAACUGACGCUCAUGUACGAAAGCGUGGGGAGCAAACGGGAUUAGAUA
rnacentral:rRNA from 1 species